AAUAUUGCGCAAUGGAGGGAACUCUGACGCAGCGACGCCGCGUGAGCGAUGAAGGUCUUCGGAUCGUAAAGCUCUGUCCUUGGGGAAGAAGGUCUUCGGACUUUACGGUACCUAAGGAGGAAGCCCCGGCUAACUACGUGCCAGCAGCCGCGGUAAUACGUAGGGGGCAAGCGUUGUCCGGAAUUACUGGGCGUAAAGGGCGUGUAGGCGGUUUUUUAAGUUAGGAGUGAAAGUCCAGGGCUUAACCCUGGGAUAGCUUCUAAAACUGGGAGACUUGAGUGCAGGAGAGGAAAGUAGUAUUCCUGGUGUAGCGGUGAAAUGCGUAGAUAUCAGGAGGAAUACUCGUGGCGAAGGCGGCUUUCUGGCCUGUAACUGACGCUGAGGCGCGAAAGCGUGGGGAGCAAACA
rnacentral:rRNA from 1 species